rnacentral:rRNA from 1 species
AUUGAACGCUGGCGGCAGGCCUAACACAUGCAAGUCGAGCGAGCGGCGGACGGGUGAGUAAUGUCUGGGGAACUGUCUGAUGGAGGGGGAUAACUACUGGAAACGGUAGCUAAUACCGCAUACCAUCAGAUGUGCCCAUAUGGGAUGAGCUAGUAGGUGGGGUAACGGCUUACCUAGGCGACGAUCCCUAGCUGGUCUGAGAGGAUGACCAGCCACACGGGAACUGAGACACGGCCCAGAUUCCUACGGGAGGCAGCAGUGGGGAAUAUUGCACAAUGGGCGCAAGCCUGAUGCAGCCAUGCCGCGUGUGUGAAGAAGGCCCUCGGGUUGUAAAGUACUUUCAGCGGGGAGGCGUUACCCACAGAAGAAGCACCGGCUAACUCCGUGCCAGCAGCCGCGGUAAUUC